rnacentral:sRNA from 1 species
AACUCCCACACAGCUAAAAUAUUCGCUUUUCCCUUAGUAAUUUAACUUCGCAGCACUUUAUAUCCACAUAAAGCAGAAAGUAGACCUUCUAUACUUCUACACGACUUAACGCCUAAGAGGGUGAAACGAAUGAGCAACAGUUGAUGAAAAUAUUGCGAAUGAAGAUGAGACCAAAUGGGAUGUGCGUGCCACCUGGGCAGGUGAGCUUCAAUUACCUGGAGAAACGGAGUGUGUGUGUGCAUUAUUACGCCGCUAAUUAACUAAGCGCACACACGCAUGGGCAUACAUACUCAGCUUGGCCACACUUCUUGGCCAAGUUUUUACAGCCCUCGCCAUCUCAUCAGCAUAAAAGUUUUUAAUGAGCCAUUUUGUUGCUGUUGACAACGCUCCUGCUGUCGCAUUUCACUUGGAUGUGGGGCUUAAAAAGAAGGUCGGCCGUGGGAUGUAAUUCAAAUAAUCCCGUCCACGAUAUAAGCCAAAAACAUAAUACCACCACAGAAUGAAUGAGCAUAAAAGCAGGCGGUGGCCUUUGUUUUAUGAUGUGUAACAUUUGUCGCAUCAAAAGAGAUAGGUAGCGUAAUUGAAACACGUGUAAAAAUAUAAUACAAAUGGUAAAUUGGGCAGUGCAUAAUAUAUAUAUAUAUAUAUAUUUUUAAAUACAAUGCUGAUUUCAUAUGCUUAAGCUUGUCAA